CAGCCGCCGCGGUAAUACGUAGGGUCCGAGCGUUGUCCGGAAUUAUUGGGCGUAAAGGGCUCGUAGGCGGUUUGUUGCGUCGGGAGUGAAAACCCAGGGCUUAACUUUGGGCUUGCUUUCGAUACGGGCAGACUUGAGGCAUUGAGGGGAGAACGGAAUUCCUGGUGUAGCGGUGAAAUGCGCAGAUAUCAGGAGGAACACCGGUGGCGAAGGCGGUUCUCUGGCAAUGUUCUGACGCUGAGGAGCGAAAGUGUGGGGAGCGAACAGGAUUAGAUACCCCUGUAGUCCCUGUCUCUUAUAC
rnacentral:rRNA from 1 species